GAAAAGCCCGCUCGCCGGAAGACCAAGGGUUCCUGUCCAACGUUAAUCGGGGCAGGGUGAGUCGACCCCUAAGGCGAGGCCGAAAGGCGUAGUCGAUGGGAAACAGGUUAAUAUUCCUGUACUUGGUGUUACUGCGAAGGGGGGACGGAGAAGGCUAUGUUGGCCGGGCGACGGUUGUCCCGGUUUAAGCGUGUAGGCUGGUUUUCCAGGCAAAUCCGGAAAAUCAAGGCUGAGGCGUGAUGA
rnacentral:rRNA from 1 species